AACACCAGUCACUGCAUCACCCCUCACAGUCACAGUGCUGUGCGGGGCGGUGGACGAAGGAACUAGUUAGAUACCUCACGCUGCCUUAGGUACUGUCCACACACACUGCCACUUGUUCCCUGACGGUGAGGAGGUACUGAAGGACGUGCUAUUAAUCCCCAGAUCCGGUACCCUCCCCACUUCCCCCCUACCUCCUGCACGAACAGUUAUCAAUGAAAUGCAGUGAUUUUUUUUCUUUUUUUUUUUUUUCUUUAAUGAUUAUUUGAUGUGGAAAAGUGUGCCGCGUUAUGAGAUUAUUGUUUUUUUUUUUCUUGUUUUAGUGAAAUGAUAAUGAAGACUGACGAAAGAAUAUACACCGUGCUUGGAUAAGGAGAAAAGACAGACGGACAGAGAGAAAGAGAAAAAAAAAGUUGGAAAAAGAGAAAAUGAAAAAUAGUGUUGAAUGUAAAGUGAAAAAAAAGAAAAGAAGGGAAAAGAAACAAAAACAAGCAAACAAGCAAACAAACAAACAAAUAGAAGUGCAAGGAACGCCAACUCCUGCAGAAGAAUGACGAAAAGGCGGAGGAAUGCGGUGCUAAAGACCAGUGCCCCUGCAGACACCGAGGGGGGAAGGUCAACGUGGCUGCCUCUCGUGACCUGGUGGAGGCUAGGAGGCCCAUUUCACCAUAAUAUACAGACGUAAAGCCUGCCAGCUGGGCACCGUCACUCCGGAUGGUGGCUGCAAUACCACGGCGCCGCUCUCUUGCUGCCCUGACUGAAGUGUGGAGUUUCACGGACACAAGCUUGUCAUAACCAUACGAGUAUGCUGCCAGCGUGGGGCCUCUGAACACCUCGCUUCUCGCCACUCCACGAUGGUUAAGAGGUGCAGUGAGUGUGCUAGACGGCUGCUGUUACUCAUUACUGUCAAGAUUACUCUACAUCCCUCGCCCGCCACACACACGCACGCACGCACGCUAAGGACCUACUGCUGUCUGUACCUACUGUCGGCACGUCUACUCCACU